AUUCCAGCUCCAAUAGCGUAUAUUAAAGUUGUUGCAGUUAAAAAGCUCGUAGUUGGAUUUCUGGUUUGAUGCCCUGGCCCGCGGCGAUUCGCCGUGAGUGCCGGUUGUGCGUCUGCCAUCCUUCUAGAAAACGUUUCUACCCUUCACUGGGCCGGACUCGCGAUCUAGAUCUUUUACUUUGAAAAAAUUAGAGUGUUUAAAGCAGGCUUUUGCUAUGAAUACAUUAGCAUGGAAUAAUAAUCUAGGACUUCGGUUCUAUUUUGUUGGUUUCUAGUACUGAAGUAAUGAUUGAUAGGGAUAGUUGGGGGUGCUAGUAUUGAGCGGCCAGAGGUGAAAUUCUUGGGUUCGCUCAAGACUAACUUAUGCGAAAGCAUUCACCAAGGAUGUCUUCAUCG
rnacentral:rRNA from 1 species